rnacentral:rRNA from 1 species
UACAGAGGGGGCAAGCGUUGUUCGGAAUUACUGGGCGUAAAGGGCGCGUAGGCGGCCUGUUAAGUCGAACGUGAAAUCCCCGGGCUCAACCCGGGAACUGCGUCCGAUACUGGUAGGCUUGAAUCCGGGAGAGGGAUGCGGAAUUCCAGGUGUAGCGGUGAAAUGCGUAGAUAUCGUAAGGAAGACCAGUGGCGAAGGCGGGUCUCUGGACAGUUCCUGACGCUGAGGCACGAAGGCCAGGGGAGCAAACGGG